rnacentral:misc_RNA from 1 species
GAAACGCUGCCUUGUUUGAUCGCGCUUCCAUGAGCGUACUGGGCACACCGAUACCCAAUGCGACGCCUUUAACUGCCAGUGCGCACUCCCCACUUACACACACACACACACACACACACACACACACACACACACACGGCGCACGCUGUCACCUCCGAUCGGCUGUCUCGCCGUGCAUUUUUCUAGUCGUUCAGUCACCGUGUGCGUGUACACUAGCAGCACUCAGCAAUGUCCCGCGCCAAUGUGUUUGGGCCCAACUCGCUCUACUCCUUCACCAAAUUCGGUGCGCUGAAUCGCAGCAAUGGCGUCGUGCUGAGCAAGCGCAUGAAGGACACCUUCCGGCUGGAGAACCAGAAGCACAUGCGUAAGGAUUUUGAUCGCGAGCGGCGCUACCGCCUCUGCAAACGGUGCGGCAUCACGUCGGUUACCGUGAAUUUUGACCAGGUUCCAUCGGCCCGUGUGGGACUGUGGGGCCGGUGUGUCGACGGGAAGGACUACACCCACCACCGCCUCGUCGAGCUGUCGCAGCGCGAAUAUGAGCAGUUGCGGGACUGGCCCAUAGAAAAGCGGCUGAACUGGUGGCGAUAUGAAGUCAAUGAUUGAUGUGGUCGCAAGUCGUGGGUACCGGUGUCUCCCGACGCCCCAAUAUUUGUGCAGCCUCUGGACAAACGAAAGGGUGGGGUUGCGUUACCGCACACAUCUGCUGCCGCCCCCUCCCCCAUCUCCUUCCCCCUUUCUGCAUUAUUUCAUAUGUUCGCGCAAAUGCGCUUCUUGUUCCCACUACCGAUGCGCAAGCGUGCAGCCAGCUGUGCUGGCCAACACGAGUAACCUCGCCAAACUACCUCAACCUCCGACACACGGUGACACGUCUGCAGUCGCCUGAAGCGGUUGUGUGCGUGCGCGUGCCACCGUGCCCCCCCCCCCCCCAAAUUCACGUCGCCAUCGUAGUCUCUUCGUCUUCAAAGACGGUCGGAUCGAAUUCCGACAAUGGCAGCUAUGCCUGCGGCUGCGGCUUGGCGGAAUGCGAGUUCGGAGGGAUUUGCUGCGCCACCCUUACUCUGCCAAGUCUACACUUGUCUCUAAAGGCCACCUACUGCCCAGCGUUCUCUUUGCGCGUCACUGCCCCGAAGUUGUGCGCGUGCCGGUGGGUGCUGCGGAUCUCAGUUCAAGGCGCCUGAAUGACCUCUCGUCUUCGUCUGUGACACCAUUGACGCUAUCUUCGGGUGGCUCGUCUGUGUGGCUUGUACCAAG